AUUGAACGCUGGCGGCAUGCCUUACACAUGCAAGUCGAACGGCAGCACGGGAGUAAUCCUGGUGGCGAGUGGCGAACGGGUGAGUAAAGCAUCGGAACGUGCCCAGUCGUGGGGGAUAACGUAGCGAAAGCUACGCUAAUACCGCAUACGAUCUGUGGAUGAAAGCGGGGGACCGUAAGGCCUCGCGCGAUUGGAGCGGCCGAUGUCAGAUUAGGUAGUUGGUGAGGUAAAGGCUCACCAAGCCGACGAUCUGUAGCUGGUCUGAGAGGACGACCAGCCACACUGGGACCGAGACACGGCCCAGACUCCUACGGGAGGCAGCAGUGGGGAAUUUUGGACAAUGGGCGCAAGCCUGAUCCAGCAAUGCCGCGUGCAGGAUGAAGGCCUUCGGGUUGUAAACUGCUUUUGUACGGAGCGAAAAGGCUUCCACUAAUACUGGGGGCUCAUGACGGUACCGUAAGAAUAAGCACCGGCUAACUACGUG
rnacentral:rRNA from 1 species